ACUGACCUCAAAGAACAUCAAGUCCCAACCCCCUGCCAUCAGCAGGGUUACCAACCACUAAGUCAAGCACCAGAUCUGGCUGCCCAAUACUGCAUCCAACCCGACCUUGAACAUCUCCAGGGAUGGGGCAUCCACAGCUUAUCUAGAGGAACACUUGAAGCAGAGAAACAGUGCUGGGGGAAGCGAUGGGAAGGAAAGCCUGAAGAUCAAUACUGCCUGCGUCCUGUGCAGCAUCAGUGAUCCCAGGGAGCAAUUCACAGAACAAAGAAAACAAAACUGGAAAGUUUUCUGACCAGGCUGUGAUGCAAAGGUAGGAAAAUGCCUGGAAAUGCUGCAGCAAAACCAUCAGUUGGUGUUUGUCAUGAAGAGGAGGAGGGCUGAGAGGCAGAGGGAGGCACACGUGCAAACUUAAGCUGUUUUAAUCUUCCAACAGAGGACCGAAUGGGGUAGGAAUAUUUGCCACCAAAUGUUUUCAAAGGGAGUGAAGGGAAUACUGCUGCACCUUUUCCAUUUGUUUUGCCAGUCCUGUACAGAGCAAAGCAACAAAGUAUGACUGCUUUACAAUAUGGUUGCCUGUGCUGCAUGGCACCUUGGGUGUCUCCAGGGAUGGGGCACCCACCACCUCUCAGGGCAACCUGUGCCAGUGCUUCUCCACUUUUUCCUUAUAUCCUGGUGCAUUACUUGAUAAGUAAGUAUAGGAUAAAUCAGUACAGGACUUGCAGACAAGGAUUGGUAAGACCAAACUGGUGCAGGACUUGGAUAAGAUGUUGUCAGGCCCAUAGGUUGGUGAUUUCCAUAAGGUCCCAUCUUACCCAAAGUGGUUUACCAACAUUAUCCUCACUUAGCAGCCAUAUGGAGCAGUGGUCUCUCGAUGGACUGUGGACCUUAUAGGACUCUGUAAGGUCCUUGAGCUCCUUGAGACCUGAGAUGCCCUUUUGUCAUUAAGAAGUAGCAUAGUUUUGUGGUCUACAUAUUAUGACCUGUGGAUAUGAGAAAAGACAACUUGCUGGCCCCUUGUCUGUGGCAUCUAUAGAAUCAUAGGAUAAUUAAGGUUGGAAAAGACCUCUAAGAUCCCCAAGCU